rnacentral:tRNA from 1 species
GUGGCCAUAGUGAAACGGUUAUCACGCGAGAUUGUGGCUCUCGCAGUACGGGUUCAAUUCCCGUUGGUCACCCCG